AGAGUUUGAUUCUGGCUCAGAACGAACGCUGGCGGCGUGGAUAAGACAUGCAAGUUGAGCGAUGAACUGACGAUAGCAAUAUCUGACGGGAUUAGCAGCGAACGGGUGAGUAACACGUAGGAAUCUGCCCCAAAGUUCGGGAUAGCUCGGUGAAAGCCGGGGUAAUACCGGAUGUGAUCUUCGGAUUAAAGGCUUCGGUCGCUUUGGGAUGAGCCUGCGUUCCAUCAGCUUGUUGGUAGGGUAAAAGCCUACCAAGGCGAAGACGGAUAGCUGGUCUGAGAGGACGGUCAGCCACAAUGGAACUGAGACACGGUCCAUACACCUACGGGUGGCAGCAGUCGAGAAUCAUUCGCAAUGGACGAAAGUCUGACGGUGCGACGCCGCGUGGGGGAUGAAGGCCUUAGGGUCGUAAACCCCUGUCGGGUGCAAGUAAGGUCCUACUUACGUAGGAAUUGAUAUUAGCAUCAAAGGAAGGGACGGCUAACUCCGUGCCAGCAGCCGCGGUAAUACGGAGGUCCCAAGCGUUGUUCGGAUUCACUGGGCGUAAAGCGUGCGUAGGCGGAGAAAUAAGUUUGGCGUGAAAGCCCCGGGCCCAACCCGGAAAUUGCGUUGAAAACUAUUUCCCUAGAGGAUUGGAGGGGAGACUGGAAUUCCUGGUGUAGCAGUGAAAUGCGUAGAUAUCAGGAGGAACACCGGUGGCGAAGGCGAGUCUCUGGACAAUUCCUGACGCUGAGGUACGAAGGCUAGGGUAGCGAAAAGGAUUAGAUACCCUUGUAGUCCUAGCAGUAAACGGUGUGCACUUGCUGUAGGCGGAUUCGACCCCGCCUGUGGCGAAGCU
rnacentral:rRNA from 1 species